rnacentral:lncRNA from 7 species
ACCCCAUGGGCGCCAUUGCCUCCGAUGGAAUCGCCAGCAGGAGCUAUGGGGCAGGGACAUCCGCCGCCGCCGUGGCACCAUGGUCAUUGCGAUUCGCUAGCGUCUGAUUGAGGGUCGUGGCCUAGUGAUCUUCGCAAAGGCACGCGGAUGGUUAUCAUGCCCUCACCAUGCGGUUCUGGGGCCGAAGCGGUGAGGAAUUGUCAAGACGCACCCCUCCAUGGUCGAAGGUCGCUUCGGCAGGAACUUUGCGUGAGGUUACGAGUCACCUGAAGAUCAUCCUGGUACCUGGAAUCUCAAGUCCUAGGCAAGUUGUGCCCUUGAUCACUUCUUUUUACCCACUCAUGUUCUAAUUAAUCAUAAUGAUCUGCAUAGGUUAAUUUUGAUGGGACCCAAUAGGUUACCCUAGUUUGAUUAUCUUUAUACCUUGUUUACCACUGAACUUUUUGGGUAGUACUUGCUAGUGCUUUAUGUGGUUUUGGGUAUGAAGAUACAUUAUUCAUGAUCACACUUUUAUUAUCUAUUUAUUAUUACUGUUCAUGAUAAGAUCAUUAUGUUAAUUGGAACAUGGAGCGACCACCCGGGAAAACAGUGCUACCACAAGGGUUUAAUGGGACGCCCUUG